rnacentral:lncRNA from 1 species
UCCAGGGUGGGAGGAUCCACUUCCAAAACGUCUCACUCACAUGACUAUUGGCAGAAAGCCUCAGUUCCUUGAAAAUGUGGACUUCUCUGCAGGCCUUCUGGAGUGUCCUCCUGACAGCAACUGGCCUUUCCCAGAGAGAGUGAUCCAACAGAGAGAGCAAGUAGGAUAUAGCUGCGCCUUUCAUGACAGCCUCAGAAGCCACAAAUCACCGUGUCUGCUAUGUUUUAUUCAUCAGAAGUGAGUCGCUGAGUCCAACCAUAUUCACAGGGAGGCAAAGUAAGCUCUACCUCUUAAAGGAAAGGAGUAUCCAAGAAUUUGUGGAUAUAUUUUAAAACGGCCACGCAAUCCACCAACAUCUUUUUGAUUCCUGACUUCCCUUUGUAGAUUCUAUACUGUGACUUGAAGAACAGUUGGCAAAUGGGUCAAAAGCCAGUAGAUGGACCUCAGAUGGACAGAAUUCAACUCAUCACAUUUCUUGGUUCUUGACACGCUCUCCUCGUUAGUCCAUCACAUAUUGCACGGAUUCAUUCAUAUCGCUGCAUGUAGGCUGCUUUGACCUGCUGUAGAAUAUCUCAUUGUGUGGAUGCACAUGUGGAUCACUGAGUAUGUCAGAGCUGGCAAGAUACGUCAGAAGAGAAAGGAGAAACUCUUAACUAAAUAGAGUUGGAAAUAAAAUAAUUGUCUGUAUGGAAUAAGAUCAAAGGUCCCACAUGUUAAAGUCAACCCCAGAUGAAUUAAAGUCUUACAUGUCAAAAAAAAUUGAAACUUUUAGAAGAAAAUUAAGGUGGAUAUAUUUUAGACCUUAAGGUAGAGAAAGAUUUCUUAAAGAAGACACUUACAGGAUUGAUUACAAACAAAAAGACUGGUACAUUUGAAUGUAUUAUGUUAAGAACUUUUCCACCAAAAGAAAGCCUCGAUUUCCUCAUUUUUAAGAUGAGGAUAAUAAUCCCUACCUUAUAGAAUUCUAAUAAGAUGAAAUGAAGCAACAUAUACAAAAUACUUAGCACAGGCUUCAGAAGGUGAACCCAGAGAGCAGGCUGUUUCUGUCCAUGGGAAAGCAGGAUGGUACAGCCCAUAUCUGAUUCAGAAACCAACAGUCAAACCAUUCUCCCCUGAGACUAAAGCAGA